AUCGCUUCUCGGCCUUUUGGCUAAGAUCAAGUGUAGUAUCUGUUCUUAUCAGAAGAAUCUGCAUGGGAUGGGGGUAGGCCAAGGUUUUGAAAAUGGUAUAGGUGCAAUAUACUCUGAACAAAAGGCUAAAUUAAUUGUAAAUAAUGUGGUCACGGAAGAAUUUAA